rnacentral:lncRNA from 1 species
CCUAUUUCUAUUUUAUCCUCUCCUAUCCCAUUCUAUCCCAUGUCCUACCCAUAUCCUAUCUUACCCUUUCCUAUCCCUUUUCCUAUCACUGUCCCAUCCAUAUUUCUACCCCUAUCCCAAUCCCUAUCCUAUUCUUAUCCCCAUCCCUAUCCCCACCCUAUCCCUAUCCCUAUUCCUAUCCUAUCCUAUCCUAUCCUAUCCUAUCCUAUCCUAUCCUAUCCUAUCCUAUCCUAUCCUAUCCUAUCCUAUCCUAUCCUAUCCUAUCCUAUCCUAUCCUAUCCUAUCCUAUCCUAUCCUAUCCUAUCCUAUCCUAUCCUAUCCUAUCCUAUCCUAUCCUAUCCUAUCCUAUCCUUGUCUCUAUCCCUGUCCCUAUUCCUGGCUCCCAUCAUCCUGCUGGGGGAUCUAGAACCUUCUCUGCCCUCUCCACAGUGUCCCAGGCUUCCUCCUCAAAAUCAGCAGAACUCCCCAUGGCAGGAAGCAUUCCCACCAUUAUUAUUUCCCCCCAUCCCAGUGGAUGUGGGGUUCUCUGGCCUGAGGUCAGCCUGUGUCCCUGUUCCCAUCCCUGGCCCAGGGUCAGUCUGUCCCCAUUCCCCAUCCCUGGCCCAGGGUCAGGCCAUGUCCCCAUUCCCCAUCCCUGACGUGGCCAUUGUCCCCACAGAGGCCCGCAAGAAGGUGGAGAGCAGCAAGAGCGAGGUGUCCCAGGAGGACACGGCCUCCGAGGCCGAGGCCACCGCGGAGGAGCCGCUCAACGGGGACGAGGGCGAGGAGGAGGGGCUGGCACGGGAGGAGUGUGAAGAUGAACUGGAGAACAGCCAUUACACAGACGUGGAGGAUGCCAGGCUACAGUAACCAGCUGUGAGCAACAGAGUGAGGAAAGCACGAGGCUGAACCCUGUCCUGGCACAUUGAGCAAGGCAAGCUGAAUGGAAGUGCUGCUGUCAUCUCUACCUGGCAUUCAAAGGAGAAACAUGGCCUGACAUCUUCCAUCCAUCUGUAAAGCAAAGGCAAAGAAAACUCAUCCUCCCAGCAGAUCCCCACCACCCUUGCCAUGGAUUUGGAGCUCUGCAGGCAGCAGAGGAGCUCUGCACAACCCAGAGCCACCACAGAGAGCAGGAGUGUCCCCAGGCAGUGUUGUAGAGCUGCUUGCAGGAGGGCAGAGACAUCUCAGCCCAGCCCAAUAAAGACAUUUUCCUGUGUGAGGUGAGAGCCA